rnacentral:rRNA from 1 species
GCUCAGGACGAACGCUGGCGGCGUGCUUAACACAUGCAAGUCGAACGAUGAAGCCUUUCGGGGUGGAUUAGUGGCGAACGGGUGAGUAACACGUGGGCAAUCUGCCCUUCACUCUGGGACAAGCCCUGGAAACGGGGUCUAAUACCGGAUAAUACUCCUGCCUGCAUGGGUGGGGGUUGAAAGCUCCGGCGGUGAAGGAUGAGCCCGCGGCCUAUCAGCUUGUUGGUGGGGUAAUGGCCUACCAAGGCGACGACGGGUAGCCGGCCUGAGAGGGCGACCGGCCACACUGGGACUGAGACACGGCCCAGACUCCUACGGGAGGCAGCAGUGGGGAAUAUUGCACAAUGGGCGAAAGCCUGAUGCAGCGACGCCGCGUGAGGGAUGACGGCCUUCGGGUUGUAAACCUCUUUCAGCAGGGAAGAAGCGCAAGUGACGGUACCUGCAGAAGAAGCGCCGGCUAACUACGUGCCAGCAGCCGCGGUAAUACGUAGGGCGCAAGCGUUGUCCGGAAUUAUUGGGCGUAAAGAGCUCGUAGGCGGCUUGUCACGUCGGAUGUGAAAGCCCGGGGCUUAACCCCGGGUCUGCAUUCGAUACGGGCUAGCUAGAGUGUGGUAGGGGAGAUCGGAAUUCCUGGUGUAGCGGUGAAAUGCGCAGAUAUCAGGAGGAACACCGGUGGCGAAGGCGGAUCUCUGGGCCAUUACUGACGCUGAGGAGCGAAAGCGUGGGGAGCGAACAGGAUUAGAUACCCUGGUAGUCCACGCCGUAAACGUUGGGAACUA